UACAGAGGGUGCUAGCGUUGUUCGGAAUUACUGGGCGUAAAGCGUGCGCAGGCGGUUUUGUAAGCCAGAUGUGAAAUCCCCGGGCUCAACCUGGGAAUGGCAUUUGGGACUGCAAGGCUGGAGUGCGGCAGAGGAGACUGGAAUUCCUGGUGUAGCAGUGAAAUGCGUAGAUAUCAGGAGGAAUACCGAUGGCGAAGGCAGGUCUCUGGGCUGACACUGACGCUCAUGCACGAAAGCGUGGGUAGCAAACAGG
rnacentral:rRNA from 1 species